rnacentral:rRNA from 1 species
UACGAAGGGGGCUAGCGUUGCUCGGAAUCACUGGGCGUAAAGCGCACGUAGGCGGCUUUCUAAGUCAGGGGUGAAAUCCUGGAGCUCAACUCCAGAACUGCCUUUGAUACUGGAGAGCUUGAGUCCGGGAGAGGUGAGUGGAACUCCGAGUGUAGAGGUGGAAUUCGUAGAUAUUAGGAAGAACACCAGUGGCGAAGGCGGCUCACUGGUCCGGUACUGACGCUGAGGUGCGAAAGCGUGGGGAGCAAACAGGG